ensembl:lncRNA
GAAAAUCUCCAAAACUACAAUCUGAAGUCACCUACAUCACCACAAGUUGUUUGGAGGGGUUUCAAGAAAAAAGCCUCUACUCUCAUCCACAAACAAACUCGAGUGUCUUCAGUUUGCCAGACACUACUGGAACUUCAAAUGGGAUCGGGUUCUCUGGUCCGAUGAAACCAAAAUAGAGCUUUUUGGCAAUAAACCCAGAGGUGGUUUUAGCACACACAGAGAGGUAGCCAUAUGGAAAAGUACCUCAUGCCCAUGGUUAAAUAUGCUGGUGGCUCUUUAAUGUUUUGGGGCUGUUUUUCUGCCAGAGUACCUGGACAGUUUGUUAGGAUACAUGGCUUCAUGGGCUCUAUCAAAUAUCAAUAGAUAUUAAAUGAAAACCUGACUGCCUCUGCCAGAAAACUUAAAAUGGGCCGUGGUUGGAUCUUCCACAAGGACAAUGGUCCAAAACACAUCAAAAUCAACACAAAAAUGGUUUACUGACCACAAAAUCAAGGUCCAUGCCAUGACCAUCCCAGUCCCCUGACCUGAAUAAACUGAAGAGGAGAGUCCACCAAUGUGAAAUUUGAAGGAUCUGGAGAGAUUCUGAAUGGAGUCUCAGAUCCCUUGCCAUGUAUUCUCCAACCUCAUCAGGCAUUAUAGGAGAAGACUCGGAGCUGUUCUCUUUGCAAAGAGAGGUAGCACAAAAUAUUGACUGAAAAGGUUUUUUGAUAAACCUGUCUUGUGUUUGCAAUUGUUUGAUAUCCAUGAGAGCAGAGAAUUUUUGUGAUUUAUUUUUUUAAACAAAUGAUCAAAGGGUUUAAACAAUAAAGACAAUUUUUUUCACAGCCUUCUUUGCUCAUAUUUACCAAGGGUGCCGAUAUUAAUGGAGGGCACUGUAUAUAUGUAUAUGCAUAUGGUUACUCCACAGGAACCACUGAUCUAAGUUUGCUUUAAAGGGGUGGAAUCCACACAGAUACUACUCCCAGACGCUAUGGGCUGCAUCCUAAACUGCACAGUGUUUAGCAUAUACUGUAUACUGUAUACUUGAUAUUUUAAGGACUCAACCUCCAAGUUGCUAAUUACUGAGUUAUAAGAGAGUGCAAUAUACUGCGAUACCUGUUGUCUCUUGGACCAGGAUGCAUUUUAUGGUGUAGCAGUACAUGUAUGUGCAAAGUUUGUGGUUUUCACAGUAAGCCUUAGUGGUGGCGUUUUAAACUAUUCAUCUUUCAUAGAUCAAUGUAACUUAUAAGAGAUUUACACUUCAAAAUGUUGAUAUAUUUUUGUACUUUUAAGACUUUUAUAAUGAUUAUGUGUCAUUAUGAUUGUAAAAAAAAAAUAAUAAUCCAUUUUAUCGGAUCCAUACGGAACUUUAAGAAGCAGAAGUGCCUUCUGUGUAUGCUGUAUAAUUGUAAAUAAAACUGAUUUGAAUUUGUACUUUCCGAACCACAUACAUCUAUAUGUGUUACAGACUUGUGUAGGAGAUUAUUGAGGACAUUGACACUUGUAUCUCUUGUUUACCAUUGACCAUACUUUUCAAUUAUUUUCCAUAUGUGUAACAACUUCUGCAACACAUUACCGACUCACUUUGGUUUCUUCUCUGGGUGUAUACGGGAUUAAUGUAUGCAGUAUCUUGAUCUUUUGCACAGAAAAUGUUCACUAAAUUUGACUCACUGUUCACUGUACAGUGGUCCAGAACACAAU